rnacentral:rRNA from 1 species
AGGGGAAUAUUGCACAAUGGAGGGAACUCUGAUGCAGCGACGCCGCGUGAACGAAGAAGGCUUUCGAGUCGCAAAGUUCUUUUAUAUGGGAAGAUAAUGACGGUACCAUAAGAAAAAGCCCCGGCUAACUACGUGCCAGCAGCCGCGGUAAUACGUAGGGGGCUAGCGUUGUCCGGAAUCACUGGGCGUAAAGGGUUCGCAGGCGGAAAUGCAAGUCAGGUGUAAAAGGCAGUAGCUUAACUACUGUAAGCAUUUGAAACUGCAUAUCUUGAGAAGAGUAGAGGUAAGUGGAAUUUUUAGUGUAGCGGUGAAAUACGUAGAUAUUAAAAAGAAUACCGGUGGCGAAGGCGACUUACUGGGCUCAUUCUGACGCUGAGGAACGAAAGCGUGGGUAGCAAACAGG